UUGUCCCGAGGGGAGGCGGCGGCGACCGUCUUUCCCGGGUCUCCGCCCUGGUUCCUAGCUGCUCCGGGUCUCUCUCCUCCCAGAAUCUGAUGGCGGCGGCCGAGCCAAGGGACCAGGCUCAGGUCCCCAUGUCUACAGAAGUGCGUACGGACCUCAUGCAGGUUGCAAGCAUAGGACAGAGUAUGAAAAGAUACCUCCUGAGAAAAGUAUAGGAAUGCCACAGGUCAGGACUUCCAAGGCAGGUCCAUCUACACAGAAGA